GUCCACGCCGUAAACGUUGGGCACUAGGUGUGGGACUCUAUCGACGGGUUCCGUGCCGUAGCUAACGCAUUAAGUGCCCCGCCUGGGGAGUACGGCCGCAAGGCUAAAACUCAAAGGAAUUGACGGGGGCCCGCACAAGCGGCGGAGCGUGUGGCUUAAUUCGAUGCAACGCGAAGAACCUUACCUGGGCUUGACAUUUUCGGUAAAGCGGGUGAAAGCCCGUGUGCUUCGGCGCCGAAACAGGUGGUGCAUGGCUGUCGU
rnacentral:rRNA from 1 species